CAUGAGGGAUCGUGCUGUUACGAAGAAGACGAAGCCCUCUGAGCAGAUGGCUGUUGUAUCGGACCAGUGAAUAAAUUUUGGUUGCACUUCAUUGCAGAGUUUGUUGAAGCCACCAUCUACAUGCACAAUUCAGUCGUAUGUGUGGUGGUUUGAAAGCAUCGUUCAUCAUGGACUCAAGGAGUGCUGACGUGCCUUGAGACAAUACUUCCUGCACGAUCCUGUUUGGAGACUUUGAUGUCCAGCGGAGCCCCACUACCUCCAUCGUUUGUGCAGUUCUGAGUUUCUAAUCUCAGUAAUUGGCGCUGAUUCGAGGUUUCACCGGUUCUUAGAGAUUUUGAUGUAAUAUCUACGUUUUUCGUGAGGGGUUGUAUCUCAGUUACCAGAGGUUGAUGGUGUUUCUAAUUCACACUAGUGUGACCGGAAUAGUAUAAGUUGAUUGCGAUUCAUGCAAAAAAUCCUCAGUAUUUUUUUUCAAGUUAAUCUUCUUUCAAAUUACCUUGUGAUAGAUAAUUCAUAUCUGGUAGCGAAUGCUUAUCUGGUGUUGCCAUUUUGCCUACGUGUCGUUUUAUCUUAGUUAAGAUAUUUGUGUUCAUGUUACCGCCUCCAGGCUUAUAAACUUGUACACUUAUCAGCACGCUUAAUUUAGAAUUAUCAAAAGGUUUGUCAACUGGCUUAUGUUCGUUUUUCAUUAUAUUUUUGAAUUCCAAGCAAGAUCUUAUUCUCUGCUAA